UAUACAGACACAGUAACAGGCUAAUCUCUCUUUCUUUUCCCCACAUUGGCCUCUACUCACUGUUGUCAGUUUUUGGAUUUUUUAAAGUAUUCAGGUACGAAAUAAUCUCCUUACUAUUACUAUUAACUAUGUUAAGUUUGUUUUAUAUAUUAAUGUAAACUUAUGUUUAGCCUAGUGAGUGUUGGAUUUGCAGGUAUCUACGUAAUUCUUAUGUCUUGCUUCUCAGAUGUAACCCCGGAACUUCUGGAAGUGUGCAGCGAACAGAAUGUGUUUUCACUAACAGUAGUGCAGACCAUAGAAUGCUACAAGUAAUCAGAGUUGUUGGGUCCUGCCAAGGAGGAAGCCACCAACUUUACCAUAGACGUUUAGGUGCAAAAAAUUGUGUGCAUAGGAACAUUUGUAACAAUUUGUUCUUCAGGUUUGAGUCCAAAGAACAUGAUGAAUCUCAAAAUGGUCAUUCACAGGGAUUCACCUGGUGCCCAGAUAAGUGCUAAUGUGAGCCUAAACCACAGCACAGGCCAUCUGAUCUUAGGCCAUCUGAUCUUCAUGUAUAUAGAGAAUGUACAGUGAUGAAGAACUGCACAUAUCUAGAUAACUAUCGUGGUGUUCCUCCUCCAGUAGUAUCCAUGGGAAUUUUGAGAGUGUGGUCGGGAAACGAUGUUCUUAUCUGACAACGACACUUCCUUGGAGUACUUCAGAUAUUCAGGUGCCUAUCCAGAGAUCACAAUGGACCUAAAAAUGUUUAUUAACAGGAGAGAUUGCUGGUGUCCAGGUAAGUGAUGAUAUGACAUUGACUCGUGAGAGACCUUUUGGUUUUCAGAUACCUGAGUAAAUGAUAUCCUUAAGAUACAUAUACUAACAUUUAUUUGGCAUGUGUGCAGUUAGAGAAUUAGUCUCUAUCAAUACUAGUAAAUAUGAGAUUGUCCGGCAUUCUUAUUUAGACAUAAUGCAUAUUUAUCACUCAGAGCAAUAGAUGAAUAUGCAAGUAUCCAGGUAAUUUAUGGUCUUAUCUGUCACCAGGUUAUUGGUCCUUUUGCAGGUAUGCCUUCAAGAAAGGAAGGAUUUUCUUACCAUAGUUUGAACUUGGAAUUGAGCAGGCAUCCAGGUAGCAUGGAUGGGUCCUGAAAUGAUACAAGUGACCAAAGGACUUUGCAGGUGUCCAAGUAUCUGAAGAUAUUUACCAAACGCAUUUUCCACAAUAUCAAAUGCAUUUUCCACAAUGUGUUUUUCUGAUCCAAGUCAAGGCAUCGUAGUGAGUCUGUGAAAGGUAAUCAGGGAGUCUGUAAAAGGUGGGACAUUGCUGGCAUCAAGACAAGAGCUGGUGUGGGACAAAAGCACAGCACAGCACAUCUGAUCAUCAUGUGCAUAAGUAAGUGAUGACAGUGCCCCAAGCACCUCUUUAUCGCCCUUUCCAUGAUUUUUUUGCAGGGGUUCAGGAAAGAAAUCAUAGAACCUGUAUCAAUUCUAGAAACCAUGAGUCUUUGCUUUUCAUGUAUUAGGGAAAAUGUAUGGCAAACCCUCUGAGUUUGAGGGAUUGCAUGUAUCUAGGCAAUGAUCAUGGUGAUUUUCACUACAGUGGAAACCACGUGAUUUUAUAGGUUUCCUCUCAAGAAAUGAUGGUUUGAUAUGACAACAGUGUUGUCCUUGCAAUACUGCAAAUGUCCAGGUAGAGUUGAUUUGUCUCAUACGGAUGGAACUCUGCAAGGUUAUUUGCAAGUGUCCUUCUGGAAAGCAUUACAUCCUUCAACACAUAUUCACAUUGUGUUUCAGGUUCCUGUGAAGUAAAUGUUACGAAACUAAAAGUGGAUGUCAGUAAAGACAUUUCUGGUCUAAGUAAGUGAUGAUGCACACCCUAACCCAUCAUGAGUCAUCUGAUUUUUUUAUAUCUAGGUAAGUUUUACCAUUUGAUUUUUGGUACGUAUUCAGGCAAAACAUGAUAGUAUUUUGUUAAUUCUAGCAGGCAUGUUAUCACAGAGUUUGUAUUUCACAGAAAAUUUACAUUUGACCAGGUGAGUGGUCAAUGAUUUCCAUGUGUCCUUGAAAAUAUCUUGUAGCUCCCCAUCAGAGUAGCAACCAUGGGAUAUUAUCAGCUGUGCAGUUAUCACCACCCAUGAUGGUGUCUCUAACAAAGAUGUGUUGACCUUGAAUUAAAGCAAGUGUCUAGGUAGAGUUGAUGUGUAUUCCAAAAUAAUGGAAGCAUUACAAGGUUGUAGGCAAGUACCCGGGGAGAACAAGUUGUGACCUGAAGCACAUUUGUCUUAUAUGAUUUUUCAGGUUCUUGUCAAAACUAUGAGGUGAGUCACAUAAUGCUCAGUAAUGAAACAUUGCUUGUAAACAGGUAGUGAUAACUGUUUGCUUCCUGUAAUGGGGGUAAUUACACAAUGCAGAGCAUUGGAUUUUCUAGGUAUGUAAAAGGGAUCCCUGAUGCUUAAGCUACUGUGUAUUUUGUAGGUAAUCCAUUCAGGUUUUUGGGAUAGUUUAUAGAGACCAGGUAAGGUUGUAUUAACAUGUAAAACAGCUUGAUAUUUUCAGAUAUCAACUUUUAUUAAUGUUUUUCACAAUAUUAACUUAAACUUGUGUUUCACAUUUAUGCAGUUAAAAAUAAAUACGCCUCUAGUAAUAACGAAUAAUCAAGAGAAUUUAUUGCAUGUCUUGACAGAUAAUGAGUAUUGAACACUUACAGGGCUACACAAAUCCACAGGCAUCUAGGUAAUUGAUUGUGUUGUACAACACCAUGAUAUUAACAACUGGAAUUAUGCAGGGAUCUAAUCAAGAAAGUACAAGGAUUCUUAAAAGGAGUUUUCCUCAAAUUUCUACAAGUAUCGAGGUACAUUUGAUGAAUACAAAAAUAAAAAUGACCAGAAAAGAUUGGAGGUAUAUAGGUAGAAUGAUAUGUGUACCAGUCACACUAUUCACAAUAUAUAUUUCAGAUUUACAUUAACAUAUCACAUAAGCCUAUCAAAACUAGGUAACAUGGGACAUUAUUGGCGGAGGUAAGGGCUGAUGCAGGCCUAAACUAUAGCCCACAGCGUGGGACUGUCACAGAGACUAAUUCACUGAUGACGUGUCCCUACACGGCAUCCCACCAUGACUUUUUCCCAGGUAUUCAGGUGAGAAAUGAUUGAGUCCUAACCAAUCUCAGAUACACCGGCUUUUCCCAUUUUCUCUUUCAUCCAAAGUGUGUUCUGACCCUCAGAGUGUUGAGGGAUUGCAGGUAACCAGACGUUUAUCACUGUAUUUCCCACCCCGUGCUGCCCCUAGGAUUUGUAGAGGUAUCUAGUCGAGAAAUGGUGGUUUUCUGCUAUCAGGGUUGACCUAGGAUUACUGCAAGUAUCCAGGUCGAGGGAGUGUGUUCCAUAAAGCUGGAAGUAAUCAAGGUUCUUUGCAGGAGUCUGGCGGAAACCCUGUGUCCUUCUACACAUAUGUCUUGGAGCCUACUUCAGACUCCUACUGUGACAUCUCAAAAUCUGACACCAGUCUGCAGGACAGUGCAGAUGAAGAACGAAAGCGUCGUACUAGCCCCAUGACAUUCAGCUGUCUAGGAAAGUGGUGAUGGGUGUCCAUCCUUCCUGUUGUUCCCGUGAUUUCACUUCAUUUGUCCUAGAAAGAAAUGGUAUGACUCCCUGGCAUACUAGAAACUGUGAGUUUUCCUUCUGCAUAUUUCAGAAACAAUGCCUAACCCCGUGUUCGCAGUGGAACCGUAAAUACCUGGUAAUUAUCCGGUGUUCCUUCCCACAGCAGUGACCGUGGACAUUUUGUAGGUGUCCUGUAGAGAGAACUGUUGUCUUCUGGAACCACGGCCCUGAGCUUGGGGUUCCUCACUAGCAUUCGGAUAAGAGUCCUUCAGUGAUGGAUAUAAGCAUCAUGAUUUGCAGGUGUUCUGGUAGAACACCUUGUGUGUUUCUGAGGCAUAUAUCUCAGUAUAUGUUUUCCAGGUUCCCAGAAGAAAAUCCUGAAGAACGGGACUCAUGAACAGGGGACGUGUCUGCUGUCUGGGUAAGUGAUUGUGUGCACCGUAAACUCAUCACAGACAACCUGAUCUUCACAUUGGUAGGUCAGUGAGGUUCCUUUCUCUGAACAGUUUACCACAUGAUGAGUUUAGGGGUAUUCCGGUAAGAAAGGGUGGUGGCUCCUUGUUCUCAUUGCCAUGUGAUCCCAUUGUUUUCUGUCCUGGAGAGAACGUAUGAGGUAUGUACCCUGUGAGUGCUGAUUGAUUGGCACGUACCCAGGGAACUCCAGUGGCACUGUGCAUCACAGGAGUAACUAAGGUGGAUUUGCAGAGAAGACAACCAGAGAAAAUGAAGUGUCCUACGAUGGCCUACCCCUUGGAGGGACCACGAGCAUCCAGGUAGAUUUUUGGCCCCCACAAUGAUGUUAGUGAGCGGGUGGUUUUCUGGGUUCUGCUGGAAAAGCUGUCUGUAGGCAGAUUUCACAUUCCCUUCCAGAGGUCAAGGGAACCCUCAUUAUGCCUGAGCAGGGGAACUCUGCCUGUAUCCAGAGGGGAGAUAGUAUGGGCAUAAGCAGGCCAUGGACGAUCCAAUCUUCUGAUACACAGGUAAUCACCAAUGGCAUUCCUGCUAUUUUUCCUGUCCUGCCGUGGGUUUUCUUGCUCAUUUUCUGUUCUUUAUUUUCUGCAGUAAUUCAGUUAAGAAACAAUGCUUUGCCAACCAAGGCUAAUAAGCAUUAGUCCUUGCUAUGUUCGACUUGAGGAUAAUGUGCCUUGAACCUGAGUCCGUGUUGACUGCGGUAGAUGCGGGUGUCCAGGUGAAUUAUCCUACUCUACCAGACCACAGGAUGGAAUGAUAGUUCUGACACAUCAUCAGUCCAGAGCUGAUAGUGGUGCCAACAGUGGGGUGGAAGUUGGAGUUCUGCCAGGAUCUAGGUAAGGUUCCUAGAUGACGGCAGUGACCAGCCUGUGUGGUGCGUGUCUUUUUCGUCUUUCAGGUAUGCCAAGUGGCAUCCUGGAAAACACCUGUCAGAUGCGUUUCUUCUGCUGCUGCUAGUCAUGAGAUCAAGGUGGGUCUGAGAAUGGCCAUUCGGAGGCCCUGGAUAGUAACCGGGUAAUGGAUGACACGAGUGCUAUGCCAAUACAGACCACCUGAACUUCAGAUUUCCUGGACAAAGAGGGCACUGUCCUUGACACGGUGUUUUCCCAUGGUUUCCUGCAGGUGUCCCAUAAAGUCCUCUUCCUGUAGAGAGGUAGGAGAUGUUGUGGCAUUACCUCAUGAAAGGCACUCUGAAUUUCCCGCAUGUAGAUAAUUAAUGAUGGUUUGAGUCUGGUAGAGUAACCUUGUGUUUGGCAUAUGUGUCAUUGGGAAAAGAUAAUUAGUGAUUCCCAAUGCCAGUAAGCAUGAGAUUUUACUGUUUGCUUAUUCAAAGGUAAGGGUUUGUGUGUGUGUGUGUGUGUGUGCAAAUUUGACCCUCCAUGUGAUAAACGGAUAUGCCAGUGCUCAGGUAGUUGAUCAUAUUGUCUGUCACCCCGAUGUGGACCGUGCUGUUUCUCCAGGUAUGCCUCGUAGGCUCUGGCUUAGAUAUCUUCAGUUAUCUGGGUAACCUGGAUGAGUUGUGAAAUGAUACCAAUGAAGAAGCAUAUUUGUGGGUAUCCUUGUAGCAUAGGUUGUGGACCAAGCAGAGUUUCCCCAAUAUGUCUUUUAGAUGAAUGUCAGGGCAUCACAGCAGGCCUUUCAAAGCUGGGUAACGUGGGGCAUUGCUGGCUGAGGUAAGUGCUGACACAGGCCUAAACUGCAGCCCACAGUGUCGUACUGUCACAGAGGCUUAGUUCAGUGAUGAUGUGUCCCUACACAUCUUCCUGCCGUGAUUUCUUACGGUAAAUGAUGGUGUGUGCGGUAAACUCACCACAGACCAGGUGAUCUCCAUGUAUCUAGGUUAGUGAGGUUCCUUUGCCUGAAUGGUUUACCAUGUGAUGGGUAACAGCUGUUAUUAUAAGAAAGGGAAGCGGCUUCCCGUUCUCCUCGCCAUGUGAUCCUUUUCAUUUCUGUCCCGGUGAGAAUGUAUAAUGUAUGUGCUUUGUAAGUGCUGAUUGAUUGGCAGGAGCCCAGGGAACUCACGUGGCAUUGUGCAUCACAAAAGUGACUGCAGUGGAUUUGCAGGGAAGCCGGCCAGGGAAAAUGGCAUGUCCUAUGAUGGCCUAGACCUUGGAGGGCCCACAAGCAUGCAGGUACAUUUCUGGUUCCCAUAAUUAUGUUAGCAUGCAGGCAGUUUGUAGGGUAUUGGUGGAGGAGCUGUGUCCAUAGACCCGUUGGUCACCUGUUGGUUUCAGAUUCAGGCAGGCAGAAGUCAGAGUGUGAGGACAGCCUUGAGGUCUCUCCAGGAGAUUCAGGGUCCAUAGGAUUUGGUACGGAUUCAGGUAUGAGAUGAUGAUGGCCCUCAUCACCAUGGUAUUUUGAAGGAAUCCAAGAAACAGAUGAUGGGCCUCUCUCAUACUAACCAUGGUAGUACCCAUGGGAUUUUGUAACUACAGAGUGAAAAGAUGACAGUGGCCAUAUACCUGAGAAUGUCCAUGUGAUUUUUGUAAAUAUCCAGAUAAGAUAUGAGUGUUCCUACUUAGGAAGUGAACAUGGGUUACUGAAGUUAUAAAGGUAAGAAAUGAUAAACCUAAUCGUGUGGGUGAGCAUGGUAUUUUCUAGAUAUCCAGAUAACAGAGGAUGAUGGCCCUAACUCGAGUAUCAAAGUUGGGUUUCCUCAGGUAGGCACAUAGGAGCUGAUGAUGUUUUAUACCAUGUUAGUGAACAUGGCAUUUUGUGGUAUUCCGGAUAUGAUGGCAAAUCUAACCACAAACAUGACCAUGAGAUUUGUCAGAGAUCCAGUAAAGAGAAGAUGGUCCCCUUAACCAUGAAGUUUAUGAUGAAAUUUUGUAGGUCAGUAAUUAAGAGAUGACAGAGAUCCUAACCGUGAUACUGAACAAGGGAUUUGCAAGUCACCAGGUAAGAGAUGAUUGUGUCUCUAAAAAUGUGGUGACCGUGGGAUUUUGCAGAUUUCAAUCAAGGAAUAAUGUGUUACUAGAAAUGGUAGUACCAAGGUAUUCAACAGUUAGCCACGAAAGAAAUGAUGUGUUCCUAGCAGUGGUAUUUAAUCUGGGUUAUUUGUCGAUCUCCAUGUAUGGUAGGUUUUUCCAAAUCUGGUAGAUCUUCUGGCCUUCUGUAGGUAUCCACAUGAGAGAUGAUGUGUCACAAAUUGUAAGUAACUGCCGCUACUGUAACCAAAGUAUUUUAUAAGUAUCCAGCUAAGAGCUCUAGCUUUAUAUAUUUGUUGGAUGUAAGACUAUCAGGUUAUCUAUUUUUUUUCUUUUUUUGAGACAGCGUCUGGGUGAGGUAAGUGCUGCUGCAGGUCUAAACCACAGCCCACACCAUGGGACAGUCAGAGAGACCCAGUUCAGUGAAGAUAUGUGUCCCUACAUGCCUUCCCGCCAUGAUUUCUUUCACAUGUACUCAGGUGAGAAAUAAUGGACUCCUUACCAAUCCCAGAUUGGCCAGGUUUUCCAUUUUCUGCUUCACAGAAAGUGUAUGCUAAACCCUGUGUGUGUUGAGGGACUGCAAGGAGCCAGGUAUUUAUCACUGUAUUUCCCGCCCGCAUGCUGCUCCUAGGAUGACUACAGAUGUCCAGUCUAGAAACAGUGGCUUUCUGCUAUCAGCGUCGACCUGGGAUUACUGCAAGUAUCCAGGUCGAGUGGGUGUGUCCCAUAACAAUGGAAAUAAGGUUCUUUGCAGGAGUGCUGGCAGCAAACCCCGUGCCCUUCUACACAUACGUCUUCCUGCUUCUUUCAGAUUCCUACCGUGACAUCACAAUGAAUCCAACACGGGACCUUAAUGGGAAGCUUGGCUGCUCUGCAGGUCAGCACUGAUGAGGACCAAAACCAUCGCACGGGCCACGUGAGGCCCAGCUGUCUAGGUAAGUGAUGAUAGUGUCAAGUCUCCCUGUUGUUCGCUUCAGGUAUCCCGUAGGAAAUGAUAAGAGUACCUGGCUUUCUAGAAACCGUGAGUGGUCCUCUGCAUAUUUCAGAGACAACACCUAACCCUGUGAGCAUGGUGGGACUGCAAAUACCAGGUAAUGAUCCGGCGUUCUCAGCCACAGCAGUGACCAUGGACAUUUUGCAGGUGUCCUGUAGAGAGAAACGCAGUCUGCUGUGAUCAUGGACCUGAGCUUGGGUGUCCCACCAGCAUCUAGAUAAGAGUCAUUGAAUUAUGGAUGUGAGCAUCGUGAUUUGCAGGUGUGCUGCUGGAACACCUGAACUUGUGUGUUUCUCUUUUUUUUUUUUUGAUAGAGUUUUGCUGUUGUCGCC